GGGCAAAAGAAGAAAAAUGGCUGCCACGCAGCUCUGAAUGCUAUUGGUUGUUGGACAUUCCAACCGGGCGGUGCUGCUGUCCAGCCUCCCUACGGCGUCCGGGCAGAAUGGAUUGCUAGCCGCGCCGUCUGGAACAAGUUAGCUCAUUAGCCCACAGCCCAGCUGCUGCCUGCAAGACCGAGGUGGGGUCCAAAUCUGUAGCUGGUUUUGGAACCUGACACUCACUCACAUCUCUCAGAAGUCAGCCAGCAACUGAAAUAGCCAAGGGAGGAGCUUUGCACCCAGCUGCCAACAGCUUUCUUGACAGCUUUCCAGAAACAGGGGGUUGAAGGUAGUGGGGGGAGAAGUGGGCUGAAGUCUGCUGGGGGCUCUUGCCAGUUCUCCGAUACCCGCCCCCACCCCCGCCACACAAACCAGAGAGAGAGAGAGAGAGAGAAUUUGGUCCUAAAGCAAAAUCCUUUCACUAAGCUCUCCAUCUGAUGUCAGUUUCCUUAGGGGGGAGAAAGAAGAAGGAGGGAACUGGAAUCCAGCGAGUGAAAUUAAGAGGAGCUUCAGGCUUUGCAUUUCUGGAUUCUGGUUCCCCUAUUUCUGCUCCUGGCUGUUGUUUCCAUGGAAACUGGCAACAGACCUGGGAAAAUAAGGUUAGGGUUUUUCAAAGGGAGGCUCUCUUCCAGCUCCCUCUCCCCCUUAAUUUCUGGCGCUCCGGCCCCCUGUUCCACUGAGAAAAGCAAAGUGAGGAAACAGCAAGCAAGAUUCUCUCCCUGGAAGAUUGCAGCUGCCUGCUGAGAUGGGAUACCAAAUUUUGCAUGAACAAUCCUGCCACUUGAAUUGACUACAGCUCCCAUAAUCCCCAGCCAAAGGCCAUUGCACCUGGGGAAUGCUGCGAUUUGCUGUCAACAUCUGGGAAUCUGUAACAGGAAAGACUGGUGGCAGGUGGGCCCGUGAAUAAUACUUCAGGAUCUGGGGGAUCCAUACAUGCAAAACAAUUAAUUGCUGUGUAAUGGGAACACAAGCAAAACUGACCACUUCAUACAAUGCAGAAGUUAACAUAUUUUAUGCUCUCAUAAAUGUGUGGGAAUGGCCAGUGACUGAUGGCUUUAAAAGGGUAUUCGGCAAAUUCAUGGAAGGAGAGAUCUAUCCAGGGCCGACGAAAGGGGGACAAAGCUGGUACAAAUUACCAGGAGCCGGCAGUCUGGAAGGGGGUCCUGGGUGGGCAUAUGUUGCUGCUUCAUACGCGCUGCUUGGGCACCCUACCUGCGCCCGAGACUGAGAGAGACUUCACUGCAGGUGUUUCUUUCCAGGCCAGUCUGCCACCAUGCGAUGCUGCCGGUUGAGCAGUAGGAUGGUGGCCGCAGGCUCGCACCCGCCUGCUCGCCAUCAUCAUCAUGAUGAUCCCAAGGGCGCCUGAGCUGCUCCCCCACCUGCCUGAGCCUGUGCCAUAUGAAAGGCAAGGCGCAAAGGAGCAGCAGAGAAGGCAGGAAGGAGCGGAGUUGGAGGCACCGGCGGGAAUGUUCAUUUUACUACUACUUCUUCAAGUGCUCGCUUUAUAAGUAAAAGUAAGAGGGGGGCGGGGGGAGGAGUGGAGAGUACAAUUUUAUAUGAUGCAGUAAAUUUUGCAAAAUAAAAGUUUCCUGAAUCGAUUUUUAUGAUUUAGCUUUUUAUGAAUAAAGUUGCAAUUUGGGGAUUUUGGAUACUAUUUUGUUUUAUUAUGACAAAGUAUAUAUAUUUUUAAUUUUUAGUUAUUUUUUUUAAUUACAAAAGGUUAAAUAGCAUACAUAUAUGUUUUACAAAAAGAUUACAAUUCAUUUUUCAAAAAGCUGUUGCAUUUUGCGAGUAGUUAACUUUAAAUAUGCUGCAUUAUACCAGUCGUGCAAUUUGCGAGGUUGCAUUUUGUGAGUAUUUAUUGCAAUGUGAAUUAUAAUAAUGUGAUAUGUGAUUUUGAUUUAGGUUUUUUUAUAUGUUCUUUGAAAAUAAAUGUUUUCUUUCCCUA